GAGCACAGGCUCCGGACGCGCAGGCUCAGCGGCCAAGCCUCACGGGCCCAGCCGCUCCACGGCAUGUGGGAUCUUCCCGGACUGGGGCACGAACCCGCGUCCCCUGCAUCGGCAGGCGGACUCUCAACCACUGCGCCACCAGGGAAGCCCAUGUUGUGAUAAUUUUUAAUGGAAUUAAAUAGACACCAAGGAAGGACUGUGGUCCCUAAAUUGGAUUUCCACCCCCUCUACUCCCAAGUGAUCAAUUCCAACAAAGAAAAUGUCAGGCUGAUUCCUCACUUCACCCUGAGCUCUGCCUUUGCUCCAGCAUUUGCUGACUUGAAAGCUGUGUAGACUGAGCUGAAGAAAUUGAGAAAAGAGCAAUGUCAGUUCUCCAGAACAGACAGACUUUGUGGAGAGGAGUCAGGCCUGCCACAUCCAGGACGUGGCACGAUUCACCCCAAAACAGCAACCCCCGACCCCCAUGGAAACCCUGUGGCAGUCCAUCAUUUUGGGAUACCUGAGAACAGCAUUGUGGUGUGGAAGAGGGCUCCUUUCAGGCCUAACAGAGUCUUGUUGGAAGAUGGAAUUUUCACACCCACAAGAGCGUUCAUAGAAGAACACACUACCGCAGUUAGAUUUCUCUCCAGAUGGGGCAAGAGGCUCUGUGUUGUACCUGCUAUUGGAGCUACUGGAGCCGACCCUGCACUGGAGCCUUCAGUUUUGGAUGCACAUCACCUUUAUUAGAGAAGAUGAGUCCUAAGGGUCUGCAAAUGGGUAGGUGCUCAGACAGCCCAGAACAAGCAGAAAUAUCCAAGCAGUUUCUGCAAUGGUGUAACAGAGCUGGUGCCUUCAUCCACCCAGAAAGCCGAAAACCAAAGCCUGUUUCUGAGAAGAAAGUACAUGACGUGUAUCUGAGUUACUUGCCUCCUACUCAUUUAUCAAUUGUUGCAUUUAUCUUCUUGAGCACAAAGUAGCUGUUCUUUCCUUCAUCAACCUCUUCUCUCUUGGACUUCAGAGAAGGAAAUGACUACUUCCUAUAAGGGGCUGAUUUGCCAAGGCUUCAUGGAGGUGGCAUUUGAGUCUAGCCUUAAAAGAUGGGUGGGAGGGGCUUCCCUGGUGGCGCAGUGGUUGGGAGUCCGCCUGCCGAUGCCGGGGACGCAGGUUCGUGCCCCAGUCCGGGAAGAUCCCACAUGCCGCGGAGCGGCUGGGCCCAUGAGCCAUGGCCGCUGAGCCUGCGCGUCCGGAGCCUGUGCUCCGCAACGGGAGAGGCCACAACGGUGAGAGGCCCGCGUACCGCAAAAAAAAAAAAAAAAAAAAAAAAAAGAGG